rnacentral:rRNA from 1 species
CACGAAGCUGGAAUCGCUAGUAAUCGCGAAUCAGAAUGUCGCGGUGAAUACGUUCCCGGGUCUUGUACACACCGCCCGUCACACCAUGGGAGUCGGGAAUGCCCGAAGUCAGUGACCCAACCUUUGGAGGGAGCUGCCGAAGGCAGGUCUGAUAACUGGGGUGAAGUCGUAACAAGGUAGC